rnacentral:rRNA from 1 species
UGCAUGUCUAAGUAUAAGCAAUUAUACAGCGAAACUGCGAAUGGCUCAUUAAAUCAGUUAUCGUUUAUUUGAUAGUACCUUACUACAUGGAUAACCGUGGUAAUUCUAGAGCUAAUACAUGCUGAAAACCCCGACUUUGGAAGGGGUGUAUUUAUUAGAUUAAAAACCAAUGCCCUCCGGGGCUCACUGGUGAUUCAUGAUAACUUCUCGAAUCGCACGGCCUUGCGCCGGCGAUGGUUCAUUCAAAUUUCUGCCCUAUCAACUUUCGACGGCUGGGUCUUGGCCAGCCGUGGUGACAACGGGUAACGGAGGGUUAGGGCUCGACCCCGGAGAAAACGCCUGAGAAACGGCGUUUACAUCCAAGGAAGGCAGCAGGCGCGCAAAUUACCCAAUGCCGACACGGCGAGGUAGUGACGAGAAAUACUGAUACAGGGCUCUUUUGGGUCUUGUAAUUGGAAUGAGUACAAUUUAAAUCUCUUAACGAGGAACAAUUGGAGGGCAAGUCUGGUGCCAGCAGCCGCGGUAAUUCCAGCUCCAAUAGCGUAUAU